ensembl:lincRNA
CCGGACCAUGGUUGCCGCCGGAGGCCUAGGUCUGGUUAUGCCUGGUAGAGGCUGUUUAGGAUUGUCCGAGGCGAGAUCUGCCCAGCUGCUUUUCGUCUAUCUUUGAGGUGUGGGGAUGAAGGCCGGGGCAAUCCCUGAGAGGGCAUCCUUGUAGGUCCAGCGUCUCACGGAGUUUUGCAGAACGUUCCAGAGCAGACUGAAUGGGAUGGUCUUAAUUUCUGUCCCCACUUUCGGCCUUUUCUUUUCUUCCACCAGUAUAUUACCUUUGCUCCGCUCAGAGAGAUGUCCUCUAAUAACGCCAGCGACUCAUUGUGCUCCUAGCAGAGGGCACGCACCACCCUCCUGUGUGUUCGCAUAGGUCAAAUACAGGUUUGCUCCUUUGCACAUUUAGCGCUGUGAGUAUACAAGGUAGACACAGAAGACAAGGCAGAGAGGAGCACAGGAGGGAAGAAGAGCCCCUGGGGAAGAAGUCCAGUCUUUGCAGUUUCCCCCACUGUGGCAGAGGGGCCACCCUCCUCCCUUGUUCCUCAGGAGGCUCCUGGUCGACUUUUCAGAACCAUCUCCUCUUCCCAGUAAACACAGAAGACAAGACAGAGAGGAGCACAGGAGGGAAGAAGAGCCCCUGGGGAAGAAGUCUUUCAGCUUCUUCCAUGCAGCAUGUCUUUCAUGCUGGUUCUUUCUGGCUGACCUGAAACACAGAUGCCUGCAGAGGAAGAGUACAGGAAGAAGCAGGGGCUGCUGAGUGGUGAAAACGUGAGCACUAAGUGAGGUCUGAGAAGGCGAGGGGUCCGAGGAGCCCCUCUUUGGGGUUUUAUCCUGGCUCUCAGCUUUGGGUGCACUGCCAUCUCCGGCUUACGCCACAGGAAGUCUCUUCAGGCAGAGGUAGGUCAGGAUUCCCAGGCACUCAGGCUUCCUCUUCCCCUCUCCACACUUUCCAAAGAGGCUUUUCAAAAUAUAAGCCCCAUGGAGGCAGCGGGUGUCCCAUUCUGUUCACUAACUCAGUGCUAGCACCUGCUGAAUGCCUGGCACAAAAGGCACAGUUUUAAUCAAAUGCCAUUGGUUAAGUCAUUAACACUUUAAGUGAGUAAAAAUCACUGUGUUCUUUUUUCCCUCCUCUUCCAUAAAUGUCUAUCUCCUUAGUUUUUUUUUUUUUUUUUUUUUUUUUAAUCAACCGAAGUCCAUAGUUUACAUUAGGAUUCAUUCUUGGUGUUGUGCACUCUAUGGGUUUGGAUGAAUGUGUAUGUGUAUAGUGACGUGUCCACCAUUGUGCUAUCAUACAGAACAGGUUGACUGCCCUAAAAGUUCUCUGACUAUUCAUUCCCUUAUUCCUCCCUGUUAACCCCUGGCAACCCCUGAUCUUUUUACGCUCUCCACAGUUUUGCCUUUUCCAAAGUGUCACAUACCUGAAAUCAUACAGUAUUAUCCUUUUCAUAUUGGCAUCUUUCACUUGGUAAUAUGCAUUUAAGGUUCCUCCAUAUCUUUUCACAGCUUGAUAGCUCAUUUCUUUUUAGCACUGAAUAAUAUACCAUUGUUUGGAUGUAUCAGUUUAUUUAUCUGUUCACCUGCUGAAGGACAUUUGGGUUACUU